rnacentral:rRNA from 1 species
UGGGGAAUAUUGGACAAUGGGCGCAAGCCUGAUCCAGCCAUGCCGCGUGUGUGAAGAAGGCCUUUUGGUUGUAAAGCACUUUAAGCGAGGAGGAGGCUACUUGGAUUAAUACUCUAAGAUAGUGGACGUUACUCGCAGAAUAAGCACCGGCUAACUCUGUGCCAGCAGCCGCGGUAAUACAGAGGGUGCGAGCGUUAAUCGGAUUUACUGGGCGUAAAGCGUGCGUAGGCGGCUUCUUAAGUCGGAUGUGAAAUCCCUGAGCUUAACUUAGGAAUUGCAUUAGAUACUGGGAAGCUAGAGUAUGGGAGAGGAUGGUAGAAUUCCAGGUGUAGCGGUGAAAUGCGUAGAGAUCUGGAGGAAUACCGAUGGCGAAGGCAGCCAUCUGGCCUAAUACUGACGCUGAGGUACGAAAGCAUGGGGAGCAAACAGG